rnacentral:rRNA from 1 species
GAUUCGUUGCCAUUUGAUGAGCCCAUAUGAGAUUAGCUAGUUGGUGUGGUAAUGGCUCACCAAGGCGACGAUCUCUAGCUGGUUUGAGAGGAUGACCAGCCACACUGGGACUGAGACACGGCCCAGACUCCUACGGGAGGCAGCAGUGGGGAAUAUUGCACAAUGGGGGGAACCCUGAUGCAGCCAUGCCGCGUGUAUGAAGAAGGCCUUAGGGUUGUAAAGUACUUUCGUGGAGGAGGAAGGGUUUACGUAAUCGUGGACAUUGACGUUACUCCAAGAAGAAGCACCGGCUAACUCCGUGCCAGCAGCCGCGGUAAUACGGAGGGUGCGAGCGUUAAUCGGAAUGACUGGGCGUAAAGGGCAUGUAGGCGGAUGAUUAAGUUAGAUGUGAAAUCCCUGGGCUUAACCUAGGAAUUGCAUUUAAAACUGGUUAUCUAGAGUACUGUAGAGGGAGGUAGAAUUCCAUGUGUAGCGGUGAAAUGCGUAG